GUAUUGAUUGCGUGUGACCGCAAAAUAAAUAAAUAAAAAGAACAUUCUACACUGUAUCAAGUUUUAUGUGAAAACGCAAGCCCUCCUGCAAAGGGGGGCCCACGCGGUGAUGCACAAAAGGGGUGAGAUGGAUUGUGUGAGAGUGCUCGGGCGUGCACAACCUUUAAAAGGUCAGCGACAGCCCCGGCACCUCCGUUAUACGAUAAUGAUCCUUCCGCAGGUUCACCUACGGAAA
rnacentral:misc_RNA from 1 species